UGUGACAGCUGGCGAUUGGACCGGACCGGGGUUAUUGUUUGUUUUGUUUGUGCGGAUUUUUGCAUAACAUUGAGACAGUAUUUUGCUUAUCAUUAUAAAAGUGAUUUCUGAAAGAGAGUAGCAAGCCGGUGUGCUAGCAUAUAAACAUGUCGGACAACGAACUGUGGUCGGAAAACAGAAAAAUAUGUCGUAUUUGUCUCCGAAUAGAUACACAUUCGUAUAAUAUUUUUAACAGUUAUUACGUGGAGCGAAAUACUUUGUAUUGUGACAUGUUGGUGUACUGUACUAAAAUACCGGUACAAAUGAAGGAUGGCCUGCCUCCAUACAUGUGCAAGAACUGCAUAAUACAUCUGGAAGACAUGUACGAGUUCCAUCUAGAAUGCGAAGAGAGUGAGAAGAACUUCCACUGGCUUCUCUCCGUCAGAUGAAGACGAAGCCAAUAAUAUACUCCUUGAUAUGUGAAUUAAUCAAAAGACCAUUAUUGAGAUGCGAUUAAUGUGUUAAAUGUAAAUUCUAUGUUGUAUAACAUAAUCUGCGACACACCCGGAUAAGUUAUCAUAUAGUCCGUUUGAGUACCCACUUAGCUAAAAAUAAACAAUCUUAAGAUAAUUAUACAAUUCAUUAAAUUAUUUUGAUUACUGUAUUUACAUUGAUCUGUAAGCAGAUAUUAUUUUAAAAUUUGAUAUUUAAAUAAAAAGUCAAAUCAAGAUUGUUUAUCUUUAGUUAAGUGUCUACUCAAAUGGAGUAUAUGUAGCAUAUUAAUUGUAUGUAUUCUAGAAAAUGUAGAAAUACCUAUCAUGUAUAAAUAUGAUAAAUGUAAAAAUAUAAAUUUGAUUGAUGUAUAAGAGUAGACUAGACAGGUUCUAUGGUUAUUUCUCCAUGUUUAAAUGUUACGCGCAUCAUAUUGUUAGAAAGUUUAACUUACUAGUAAGUAAUAAGUAUUAACUAUGUUGGUAUUUGGUUGAUUGUUUUGUUGCGACUGGUUAAUUAUUUUUGUAACAUAUUUAACCAUAUGUACAUAAUUAUUAUGUCAUCAUCAUCAUCCUACCCUUUUCCAGCUAUGUUGGGGUGGACAGUUUUAAUGUAAUUUAACAUAACAUAGUAGGCAGCCUAGUCAUUGAAAUUGUAAUUAUAAAUCACUUUUGAUUUCAAUAAAUGUUCAUAAAUUA